UCAGCAUUCUGCAGUCUCAAGCAGAGACGGAAGAGGAAGCGAGACAGCCUACUCCUUCAUUUUUCCCCCCAAUGGAAGUCAACUAACUAAGCAGACCACUAUCGCAUUGUUGUCUGCUUAAGGAGCCACCUCCUUAAGCAGACAGUGGUAAAUGGCCUGAGUGAACUAUCUUCACUAUCUUGGGCAAAGACCGGCUGAUACCAGAUUUGAAGAAAAGGAAAAACGGAAGGAGAGAACAGCAGGAACAUAUACUAUACUAUGCAUCUUACAUAUACUGUGUAACUUACUAAGACAUUUUUAAACAAAUAGCUGGUUCUGGUGAAUUGAAGGGAAAAUACAACAACUUUCCUGAAAAUGUUGUCAAUUUAGUCAAUCAGAACUCAAAUACCAAUAUUUUUCUGUAUUACUUUAAACUGUUGGUCUAACUAUAACAGUUCAGAAAGUCACCACCAAUGUCAAAACACAUGAUUUUAUUUAUAUUCCCUUCACCAUGUUUGGGUAGUACAUGGUCUUGAAAUGACUAAUUUCUUUAUAUAUAUUAGUAUUUUCUCUCUUUAUUGAGAUUUCAAGUUAUAAAUGAGAGGGGGUGACAGAAAGGUAGAGGAAUACAGAUAUGAAGGCGUAAGUUUAAAUCCAUGCCGCAAGGGGCCAUGUGUGGUCCAGAGUCAUCAGCAUUACCACUAGACUAGACUAUGGCACAAAAUUAAUAAUGUCUAAUACUCAAUGAACUUAAAAGGAGUCGAGGCACUCAAAGUUAAGAAACUGCUGACUUGAUUACACAAUUUAAUUGCACUAUCAAUUCAUUAAAAAGUAUACAUACAUGGUUGUAAAGGAAAUCAUGUUCAGUCCUAAUAAGCUGAAGAUUCUAUUAUGAAUAAACCAGCAAGCUCUGGAUCUUGUAGAGUAAGAGUUGAAUACUCCUGCACUAGAUUGUGUAAGGCAAAACCUGCAAUGAAAAGGCAACAGGCAAAUGCACAAACACUAGAGAAAACUAAGAAAUAUAUUUUUAUUUGCUAUCUACCUGCAUUUUCUCUGGUAUUUCUAGAACCACCUGCAACUGGACACCGACAUGUAUAAGAUAACUGGUUUCCAGAAUUGGGAACGAAGACAGUACUGCCAAUACCAGCACCAUCAGCUGUCCAUUUCCAAUUGAUUGUGCCGCGACUGCUGCUUCAAGUUUCAGCACCACAAUCAUUCUGGAGUCUCAAGCAGAGACGGAAGAGGAAGCAAGAUGUUCACUCCCUCAAUGGUUCUGUUUCAAUGGAAGUCAAGGACUAAGCAGACAGCUAUCGCAUUGGUGUCUAUGGAGAACACCCCCCCCCCACCCCUCCGCCCCCCUUAAGCAG